rnacentral:rRNA from 1 species
GACGAACGCUGGCGGCGUGCUUAACACAUGCAAGUCGAACGGAAAGGCCCUGCUUUUGUGGGGUGCUCGAGUGGCGAACGGGUGAGUAACACGUGAGUAACCUGCCCUUGACUUUGGGAUAACUUCAGGAAACUGGGGCUAAUACCGGAUAGGAGCUCCUGCUGCAUGGUGGGGGUUGGAAAGUUUCGGCGGUUGGGGAUGGACUCGCGGCUUAUCAGCUUGUUGGUGGGGUAGUGGCUUACCAAGGCUUUGACGGGUAGCCGGCCUGAGAGGGUGACCGGCGACAUUGGGACUGAGAUACGGACCAGACUCCUACGGGAGGCAGAAGUGGGGAAUAUUGCACAAUGGGCGGGAGCCUGAUGCAGCAACGCCGCGUGCGUGAUGACGGCCUUCUGGUUGUAAACCGCUUUCGCCUGUGACGACGCGUGAGUGACGGUAAUGGGUAAAGAAGCACCGGCUAACUACGUG